UCAAGCCAAUAAGAGCAUAAGGCGAAUGCCUUGGCACCAGGAGCCGAAGAAGGACGUGACAAGCUGCGAAAAGCUGCGGGAAGGAGCAAAUAUCCGAUGAUCCGCAGAUGUCCGAAUGAGGGAACUCAUCCGCUUUAAUAGGCGGAGAUCCUUAAGUGAAUACAUAGCUUAAGAGAAGGCGACCCGGCGAACUGAAACAUCUAAGUAGCCGGAGGAAGAGAAAGAAAAAUCGAUUUCCUUAGUAGCGGCGAGCGAAAUGGAAAGAGCCCAAACCGGAAGCAUUGCUUCCGGGGUAGUGGACUGCAUCAAAGCACGGCAUAUAUAGUCAAAGGACUCUGGAAAGGUCCGGCGCAGAGGGUGAAACCCCCGUAGGCGAAAUGUAUAAAGUGCAAAGCAGUAUCCGGAGUAGGACCGGACACGAGAAACCCGGUCUGAAGCAGGGGGGCCCACCCCCCAAGGCUAAAUACUACCUGGUGACCGAUAGUGAACAGUACCGUGAGGGAAAGGUGAAAAGAACCCCGGGAGGGGAGUGAAAUAGAACCUGAAACCUUAUGCUUACAAGCAAUGGGAGCGCAAGUGACCAUGUACUUUUUGUAGAACGGGCCAACGAGUUAUGGUAUGUAGCAAGGUUAAGUUGCUGGAGCAACGGAGCCGUAGGGAAACCGAGUCUUAACAGGGCGAUAGUUGCAUGCUGUAGACCCGAAACCGGGUGACCUAUCCAUGUGCAGGUUGAAGCGGGAGUAAAAUCCCGUGGAGGACCGAACAUAUAUCUGUUGAAAAAGGUUAUGAUGACGUGUGGAUAGCGGUGAAAUUCCAAUCGAACCCGGAGAUAGCUGGUUCUCCUCGAAAUAGCUUUAGGGCUAGCCUUAAGUAAAGAUACACGGAGGUAGAGCACUGAAUGUUCAAGGGGCCUUCACCGGUUACCAACAACUAUCAAACUCCGAAUGCCGUGUUAUCAUACUUGGGAGUCAGACUACGAGAGAUAAGUUCCGUGGUCGAAAGGGAAACAGCCCAGACCCACAGCUAAGGUCCCCAAAUGUAAGUUAAGUGGAAAAGGAUGUGUUGGUGCACAAACAGCUAGGAUGUUGGCUUAGAAGCAGCCAUUCAUUUAAAGAGUGCGUAACAGCUCACUAGUCGAGUGACAUCGCGCCGAAGAUAAACGGGGCUAAAACUUACUACCGAAGCUUGGGAAUAUAUCAAUAUAUUGGUAGAGGAGCAUCCUGUGGGGGCAGAAGGUGAGACGUAAGUCUUGCUGGACCGCACAGGAGAGAGAAUGUUGGCAUGAGUAGCGAGAGCCGUGUGAGAAUCACGGCCACCGAAAAUCCAAGGUUUCCUGAGGAAGGCUCGUCCGCUCAGGGUUAGUCGGGACCUAAGCCGAGGUCGAAAGACGUAGGCGAUGGACAACAGGUUGAGAUUCCUGUACCACCGAAAGUCGUUUGAACGAAGUGGGGACACAGAAGGAUAAGCAGAGCGCGCCGUUGGUUGAGCGUGUCCAAGCGUCAAGGCUUGUAUGCAGGUAAAUCCGCAUACUAUAAGGCUGAGGCGUGAUGGGGAGGGAAGUAUAGUACCGGAAGCUGCUGAUUCCACACUGUCAAGAAAAGCCACUAGUGAGACCGUAGGUGCCCGUACCGCAAACCGACACAGGUAGAUGAGGAGAGAAUCCUAAGGUGAGCGAGAGAACUAUUGUUAAGGAACUCGGCAAAAUAACCCCGUAACUUCGGGAGAAGGGGUGCCUGCGAAAGCAGGCCGCAGUGAAAAGGCCCAGGCGACUGUUUAGCAAAAACACAGGUCUCUGCUAAAGCGAAAGCUGAAGUAUAGGGGCUGACGCCUGCCCGGUGCUGGAAGGUUAAGGGGACGUGUUAGAGCAAUCGAAGCACUGAACUUAAGCCCCAGUAAACGGCGGCCGUAACUAUAACGGUCCUAAGGUAGCGAAAUUCCUUGUCGGGUAAGUUCCGACCCGCACGAAAGGCGUAACGAUCUGGGCACUGUCUCAACAAUAGACUCGGUGA
rnacentral:rRNA from 1 species